GUGGGGAAUCUUAGACAAUGGGCGCAAGCCUGAUCUAGCCAUGCCGCGUGAGCGAUGAAGGCCUUAGGGUUGUAAAGCUCUUUCGUGGGGGAAGAUAAUGACUGUACCCCAAGAAGAAGCCCCGGCUAACUCCGUGCCAGCAGCCGCGGUAAUACGGAGGGGGCUAGCGUUGUUCGGAAUUACUGGGCGUAAAGCGCACGUAGGCGGACUGGAAAGUCAGGGUUGAAAUCCCGGGGCUCAACCCCGGAACUGCCUUUGAAACUCCCAGUCUUGAGUUCGAGAGAGGUGAGUGGAAUUCCGAGUGUAGAGGUGAAAUUCGUAGAUAUUCGGGGGAACACCAGUGACGAAGGCGGCUCACUGGCUCGAUACUGACGCUGAGGUGCGAAAGCGUGGGGAGCAAACAGGAUUAGAUACCCGAGUAGUCC
rnacentral:rRNA from 1 species